rnacentral:rRNA from 1 species
AUUGAACGCUGGCGGCAUGCCUUACACAUGCAAGUCGAACGGUAACGGGCCUUCGGGUGCCGACGAGUGGCGAACGGGUGAGUAAUGUAUCGGAACGUACCUUUCAGUGGGGGAUAACGUAGCGAAAGUUACGCUAAUACCGCAUAUUCUGUGAGCAGGAAAGCAGGGGAACGCAAGACCUUGCGCUGAUUGAGCGGCCGAUAUCAGAUUAGCUAGUUGGUGAGGUAAAGGCUCACCAAGGCGACGAUCUGUAGCGGGUCUGAGAGGAUGAUCCGCCACACUGGAACUGAGACACGGUCCAGACUCCUACGGGAGGCAGCAGUGGGGAAUUUUGGACAAUGGGGGCAACCCUGAUCCAGCCAUGCCGCGUGAGUGAAGAAGGCCUUCGGGUUGUAAAGCUCUUUCGGCCGGGAAGAAAUCGUAUCAGCUAAUACCUGGUGCGGAUGACAGUACCGGCAUAAGAAGCACCGGCUAACUACGUGCCAGCCGCCGCAGUAAGAC